CCAACCGUACUUGUUUAUCUAUUUGUGUUAAUUUGGUAAACUUUGAGAUGCAAUACAUAACUGUUUUAAGAUUUAAUAUAAUUUAUUCUGCGCACAAAGAAAAUUCUCUUCGCAAUAUGCAACGGAAGUAGAAAAUAUAGCACAAUCGAAUUUAUUAUCUAUUUUAUGUCUUAUCGAUAUAUAUCACAACUUAAAGACUAGCACAGACACAUUACAGUCUUGCAAACAUAUUUGUAAUUUAAAUAAUAAAACGCAGUUGACAAUUAUACAAUUGCGCAGAAUUCAACCUACGUUUAUUUCUUAAAUGUUACAAUCGUCAGCAAGACUGAUAUAUUUGAAGAACAGAUAUUUCGGAAAAAAUUUCUUAAUCUAACUAAAGAAAACUUACACCUAUUCUACGUAUCUCAAAAUGACAAAUACGCGCCCUUUUCAGGUGAAAACUAUAUUAUAGUAACCGAUAGAUACUACCUAUUGGCCAAGUAAUACGUUUCUAAAUGGUAACAAUUCGUAAAUUCGUCGACAUCGUUCGAGAUACUAAAACCUCGUCGCAGAUACUAAAAAAAAAUACCAAUCGAUCUUCAUCAGGAAACGCGCGAUGCCCCGAAACGAAGCACGACAGCGAAAGGGAAAGCAGAACACGGAGAAAAAGCGGAAGAGUGCAGAGAAGAGAUGAUACGUGGCGUAAAAGCGGCGAUGCUAAGAGCAACCAAGCAAGCAACCAAGCCAAUUUAUUUAAUGAUGACGCGUUUAGCAAUAAUAAGAGUGCCGGCAGGCUAGAGAUAUUUUUCCGCGUGUGGAACGCUCGCAAGUGCCACCACGUGUGCAACACGUGUGCAUGAUGCGCGUAGUACUCGGUCGUCGCUGUUACGUAUACGUAAACUCAUGGUUAAAGUGGCAUGCACAUCAAGGUGAGCAAAUUGCUCUGGUGAAGAAUCGCCAUGAGAACAGCAUUGUUGUACCGAGAUACAAAAGGGGUAGCGGAUCUUGGACGCGAGAUAUAAAAGGUCCAGCGGAUCUUGGACGCGAAUGUAUAGCGCGAAUAGAAUAGAAAACUAUAGAGAAAGAGAGAGACAGAAGCAAGUUGAGUUCGCCUUAAGGAUUUUUAUCAAAGGACGAAGGUGCGCGCGAAAGGACGAAAAAAGUAUUUGCAAAGCACCAGGAGCCGCGAAGUGCAAGGUGAUUUACCGGCGGUUUCAAGGCGAGCAAAUUGCUCUUGCCGCGAGCUCGUACGAGUUUCUCGAAGACGCCGCGCCGUCGGAUAAUGAUUCUUUCUUCCUUUUUCUGCGUGCGCUCGCAGACCUUGGCAAUGAGAUUGAUCCGGUCUAGACGCUGUGUUAUUAAUUUGUACCGCAAGAUUUAUCGGCCAAGAUGCACGGAGAAUAGAUAUAAUGGCAUCGGGAUUAAUGAUGCGACUCGCACGGAUAACGUACUUUUAUUUCCACCUCUGCCAACCAUCAAUUAUUUCGUACGUGUUCGCAAAUGAAUUGGCUAGAUUGCGCGCCACCGACCGACCAACCGAUUUCAUACGUAUGCUACGUAGGCGCGUCAUCAGAAAACGUUGGGUUCGAUUUCCAACCAUGCAGAUCUCUUAAUCUUUUUCUUCCAUACCGCGAUGGAGCACGAAUCUCUUAAAUCUCACCAUUCCUACGAUGCUAUUCUUUGCAACGUAAUUUCUUUCUAACUUAUUCGUCGUAGAGACGCGUUUAGAGGUAGAUUUAACCGAUACAAUGCGUUGGCGAAUAACGUUUCGCUAUAGCGCGGCUAGUCACUAGUAUGUCGCCAUAAUUUACUUUACUACGUUUGAUAUAGAGCAUUGAUCUGGAUAAUUCCAGUAGCUAAAUCAUUUCUCCGCUUGUAUACAUGAUAUCAUUAAAAAUAUAAAUCUACCAAAUGGUACAACGUCACCGCUACAAAAUCACACCGACGUCGUAACAUUAAAAAGACGUAUGGACGUUAAUUGUUAUCAUCAUACCUAAACUGUAAUUACGCCGAGCCACCGUUCAUGCCAAUCGUUGCCACUUCGAUCCUAUCAAUAAACCAACUUAAAAACUCGAUUACAAAAAAUCGACUCUUUGACGGACGAUUAACGCUGUACCGAGCGAUAUCGCGUCUCGCGUCUCGUAAAUACUCUCGACGAGUAAAAUCCAACGAGCAAAUCGCACCGUGGCAACGAUCAACGCGAUAAUACAGCGCCGAUCGGUGCACAAGCAUGCAACGUAGUAUGGGUAAAUGCACCGAGAGAGCAGAGGCUGCAUUACGAGUUGACGCCUGAUCUGGGCAACGUGCCGGGCACGACAUUGCGCACGUGCUAUGAAUAGUUAGAGCCAAGUUAGCGUUGAUUAUCCCCGUGUUUGCGUGUGCAGUAGACCCGCUACACACUCCGAACCACGCUGCUGAAAUUUUCUGAUCAGACGCGGCCCAUACGAACUCUAAUAUUAGAAUCGAGCGCAUACCGGCAUUUCUGACGCUCUGUUCUUUGUUGCUGCCGCAUCUGUGCCACGAACGGCACGAUCGUGAGUUCGAACGGGGCAAAGGUCGAUAUUACAUGGGAGUCAGUUGGCUAACGAGAGAUCUCCUUCGAAACCGUCGAAAAAGCAUCGAACGAGAAACAAGAGGAAAAGCUAUAAAAGGAACCGAUCGACCUUGUAAAUACGGCGAUUCGAUGUAAACGAUAUAGCACACUAAGGGAAUGAUACGUUAAUUUUAAAGCGUGGCCGGGACACGUUUUAUUAAGCGAGAGCUGAAACUGGGAACGAGGACUUUCGUUGAUAUCAUUUUCGAAUCGGCCUGUAAAGAGAUCAGAUUAAAACAAGGUGCUUAAGUGGGUCUAAUUAACGACCGUAAGAAGGUCGUAACAAUUUAUCAGUAUAAGGCAGAUUCACGUUACAGACUCGCGCAACCUGAUAUGAUGAACAACAGAUGGUUGCAAUUGGAUCUUAGAUCGAGCGCACCAUACUUUUAAAAGACCGAUGAUGUAACGUAAACGGAAUCUGUAAAUACGAGCUGUUGAUGUAAUUAAAUGCACCGAAUGUAUCCGCGUAACGCUACAAAGUUCUCGGCUUCGCGUUCGAUUUGCGAUAUUUCCGUACAAUUGGUUUUAUUGCGACUCGAACGUGCCAAACGAUAAAACAACUUCACGGUUUUUGCGUUUCGUAUUAACCGCGAAACUACUUAACCUGCGGAUGUAUUUUUGAAACGCAAAUAAGCUUCGUUGAUACUAUCAUUUUCAAAGACACUGUCUAUUUUUAAUAUGUCCAUUGUUGUCGAGGUCAAGUAAUAUACACAACGAUGUAUUAGUACACAUUCUAAUACAGUUAAGUUUGAAACAAAAUAAUUUUGGAAAAAGCGUUGUGAUAAACUAUUAUAAAUUUGUCUCGUAUUUGUGAUAUUUACGUAAAUCGCUCCUAUAAAAUUUUUAUUAUUCUAAUACAACUUUUAGGCCUUAACGAAACAACAUAUAAAUUGAUUUAUUUACAUUUCUCAACAA